GAUGAACGCUGGCGGCGUGCUUAACACAUGCAAGUCGAACGGAAGGGCCCGGCUCUUGUUGGUUGCUUGAUAGGCGAACGGGUGAGUAAAACGCGAGUAACCUCCCCUUGACUUUGGGGUAACUUCAGGAAACUCGGGCUCUUACCGGAUAGGAUCUCCUGCUGCAUGGUGGGGGUAGGAAAGUUUCGGCGGUGGGGGCUGGACUCGCUGGUUACCAGCUUGUUGGGGGAGUAGUGGCGUACGAAGGCUUUGAAGGAUAGCCGGCCUGGGAGGGUGACCGGGGUCCUUGGUCCUGCGGUACGCACCAGACGCCAACGGGAGGCAGCAGUCGGGAAUAUUGCACAAUGGGCGGAAGCCUGAUGCAGCAGCCCCGCGUGCGGGAUGACGGCCUUCGGGUUGAGAACCGCUUUCGCCUGUGACGAAGCGUGAGUGACGGUACUGGGUAAAGAAGCACCGGCUAACUACGUG
rnacentral:rRNA from 1 species